UACGUAGGUGGCAAGCGUUGUCCGGAAUUAUUGGGCGUAAAGCGCGCGCAGGCGGUCUCUUAAGUCUGAUGUGAAAUCUCGCGGCUCAACCGUGAGCGGUCAUUGGAAAACUGGGAGACUUGAGUGCAGAAGAGAAGAGCGGAAUUCCACGUGUAGCGGUGAAAUGCGUAGAGAUGUGGGGGAACACCAGUGGCGAAGGCGGCUCUUGGUCUGUAACUGACGCUGAGGCGCGAAAGCGUGGGGAGCGAACAGG
rnacentral:rRNA from 1 species